AGGGCUGUAGAUCAGUGGUAGAGCUUCUGCUUUGCAUGCAGAAGGUCCCAGGUUCAAUCCCACACAUCUCAA
rnacentral:tRNA from 1 species